UAUCAAAUAUUUCAUUGGAAUUAUUGGCUUUUCGCCACUCUAUGAGGUGCUUUUGUCUUUCUCAGGGCAAUACUGGGUGCGUCUCAUGGACACCACAUAGUUAGCUCUAAAAUUUUUCUCAUCGUCUUGCAAUUCAUCCACAAUGAGUAAGAAGAGCGACUUGGUAAUCUUCAUACAACGCUGGACAUAGUCCAAAAAAUCCCUGCUUUAUGCGCAAGGCAAAGCAAAAGUGCUGCGAUGGGAUUUAUCGAGAGGGAGUAUGUAUGCGAAAAAAAGAGAAAUAAAACAUGACUUCAAAUGGAGAAGUUGAAUAUGCGAGGGGCAAAAAAAAUAUGCGAAAAAAGAGGCAUUCGAUGAUGUCAUCGUGCUUUAAAAAGAAAUUCCAAAUCACACAGCUCAGGCGUUUCUGCAGAAUUCUCAAGUAGCUGACCAAAGAGUGCCUGCUUGCUGGACACAAUCAGGGAGGACUUUUCACCUCUGAUGGCUUCCACAAUUAUGGGAAAAUCUCGCAGAAAGGAAAAGUAUUUGGAGAUAAAUCAAAUCAAAUAUUACUCGUGGCUGUUUCUCCAGCAAAUCUCCCACAACUCCAUCGAGUGUCACUUCCUCUCUCACUCUCUCUCCGUCCAGAAUUCCAGCACUCACAAGGCAAUAUUUAAUAUGUUAUGAGUGCGAUAAAAGUAGGUUUUUCUCUUGCACAGGAAUUGUAUGGUGUAGCUAUAAAAUUUCCCAUCGAAUGAGGCGAAUGAUGAUAAGAAAGUUAUUGCACGAUAUUGCCUGGUGUCCCCCCGCAUCACCGCUCCCUUGACACCGACCGGCAGAUGGAAUUUCGGGGCCUCAAAAUGAUCCCAAGAAAUGAAGAAGAAAAAAAAGAAGAGGAAAAUACUCACUUUUCUCUGUGCCUCAGCGGCAAAUCCGGAUUUUGUAGCACGAUUGGAUGCCAUGGCUCUAAUUCAGGAGGAGAACUUUACCACAAAAUAUAGUAAUAUAAAACAAAGAGAACCACACAAGAUGUAGUGGGAAUAUUAAAUAAA